GAAUAACAUUGAACGACUUAAGCACAAAACGACGGCACACACAGAAGCACGAGGCGUUGAUCUCCGGGCGCGAAAGUUCACUAAACGUGUACGAGUCCGGGGACCUGCCAAGAGUGUGAAAGCUCAUCUGGAACAUCAUCCAUGAAGCCUGAAGAUAUUACUGCUGAACGAAUGUGUUGGUUUCUGCACAGGAGCGACAGGAUUUGUCGUUCAAUGUGAGAAACUAUGGUGACAUCUUCAGGAGUAACUACAGCUGCCACCGGCCCAACAUUUACAUGCUGCCUCUCCAUUUGAAGUUGAUUAACUGAUUGCUCUGAACUUUGGAGUAUUAUUUAUAAGUACAUUGUUUUGCUAUGACAGUUCCAUGUUUUGUAACUAUUAUUUCAAAGCUUCUGUAUAAAGUUCUUACU